UUGUAACGUAGAUAGAUGUAUCACACGUUUCCUAUAAAAGACAUUCACAAACUUAUAAUAGUUUGUCGAAAGUAUGUACGCACAUUAUUUAUGCAUAUAUACUUCUUUCAAAACAACUUCAUCAACGAAUUCCGUAGAUGAUCAAUGAACAUGUUAGUAUGUUACAAGAAUAAGAUUUUUCAAAUACACAUUUGGAACUAGUGAAGACUGAAGAUCUGAUGAACUUAAAAAUGAUACAGCUAGUAUUGAGCUCUUCAGUUGUGUACGUAGGUUAGGUUACCUGUCUAGACACCAUCGUCGUUCGCCAGCUCAAAUACCGUCAUAGUUUUUAUUUGCUUUAGGUAAAAUUAAAUCAGAUAGAUUAACAUUUUAUUGAUGAUUUAUUUGCAAUAGACUACAAUGUUUUGAGGAUCGUCGAGAAUUAGUAACAAAAUAUAACUUUCAAUCCA